rnacentral:lncRNA from 10 species
AGCUUGCCAGCCUUCCUGGGGAACAGCGGGCCAGGGCAGGACUCCAUCCCCAGGAAGCACAGGUGAGGCUUACAAAACAGGUGCAGGACUUGCAGACGCAGCUCUCCUUUCAGCAAACCCUGCUGAGACGCAGAGCGGAGAAAACAGGAGGUGCCCCAGUUUCUUCUCCCGGGUAAGACUGAGAGCUGUCCUUGAACCUGAUCGGCCAGAGAGAGUGCUGAGGAGAACCAGAGCAUCCCGUGGGGCUCCCUGGGCUGGGCUCUGCCAGGUGGGUUUCCCAGGAGAUCGGCCAUGACAGCUGCUGUGUUGGGCACUCCUCCAGGGCAGGGGUGGCCCCGGGAGAACUUGGGCAGGAGGGGGCAUGAGUCACACAGAGGGUGGCCCACUGGGUUUAUGGUACCCGGAGUUGCAAACACUCAGGUGUGAGUCACCUGAGUGCACACGUGGCUGGAGGCAGACAGCCUCCCUUGCCCUCCCCUCCUCCAAUCCCAGCUCCUGAUGGUUGUACCCUCUCCUGUGCUGAGGGCAGCAGAGACUCAUUAGCGAACUGACCUCCAGGCUGAUGAAGACUAGGAGAGCAGAGGUCAGGGAU